rnacentral:rRNA from 1 species
UGGCGACCGGCGCACGGGUGAGUAACACGUAUCCAACCUGCCGAUAACUCGGGGAUAGCCUUUCGAAAGAAAGAUUAAUAUCCGAUAGCAUAUCAAGAUCGCAUGAUCUUGAUAUUAAAGAAUUUCGGUUAUCGAUGGGGAUGCGUUCCAUUAGUUAGUUGGCGGGGUAACGGCCCACCAAGACGACGAUGCGUAGGGGUUCUGAGAGGAAGGUCCCCCACAUUGGAACUGAGACACGGUCCAAACUCCUACGGAAGGCAGCAG